rnacentral:rRNA from 1 species
AUGGAGCAAGUAACCGGAUACGCCAGUGAUGAUUCCGGUAGCGAUAAUGAAUCCUCGUCAUUGAAUGCGAACCAACCUCCCGGAGACAACUAUAUGAGUCAGGAUGAAUCGUACAAUGGUAAUCUACAUGGCAAUGAUGACGAUGAGGAAUAUGAUAUAGAUGAACAAUUUUAUGCAAAUAGUGUGAGCCAGAUAAAUGCUAAUGGUGACAAUGAGCGUAAUAAUAUAGAUGAUGACAAUGCCGAGAGCGAGGUCGAUGCAUCUCGUAGUGGGAGCGGUAGCCAAGGAGGUGUUGAUGGUCCUAGUGGGAAUGAUGAGCACAGCGAUGAUGAUCAGUUUGACCUUGACAUGUGCUAUGAUGAAUAUCAGCAAGAGUCACUUGAUAGGCAUUGGACAGUGAUGGUAAAGACAUUCAGGUCAUUGGACGAGGUGUACACGUUCUACAACAAGCACGCGAGAGAACGUGGGUUCAACAUCAGGAAGGACUCGCUAAAAUUUUCGAAGGAUCACGCAAGGACUCCACGCUUGAGGAGGUAUCUCUGUUCCGCCGCAGGAAAACGACAGGCCAAGUUCUGUACCAUGGAAGGCCGGACCCGCAGGCUUAGACCGAAGAGUCGAUUCUUAUGCGAAGCCCAUUUGACAGUUAAGCUUGAUAAAAAGCUCAAUCUUUGGUAUGUCAGCAGUUUCUCCGAUGAUCACAACCACACUCUUGCACGACCGGACGAAGUCCCUUUCCUCCGAUCUCAUAAUCGGAUCAAAGCAUUUGAGAGAGCUGAGAUCUUAGCUAUGGCUGGAGCUGGGAUAAGAAAACAUAUCAUUUUUGAUAACAUCGUUAGCAGGUAUGGGUCGUAUGCAAAGUCAUCAUUUCAGGAGACAAAGUUGUAUAACAUGUGCUAUAGGGAGAAGAUGAAAUUGCUUGCACAAGGUGAUGCUGAUACUGCCAUAGGAAUCAUGUUGACCAGAAAGGACAGAGAUCCAGACUACUUCUUUGAGCACAUGGUUGACGCUGAAGGCAGGCUCCAAAACCUCUUCUCGUGUGAUUCGCAGUCACGCCGGGAUUAUCUAGACUAUGGUGAUGUUGUUGUGUUCGAUAGCACAUACAAGAUGAACAUGUAUGGAAUGUCGUUCAUCCCUUUUGUGGGUCUGAACAACCACCGUUGCACUACGGUAUUCGCCUGCGCCAUUGUUUCAGACAAGACUGAGGCUACAUAUGUUUGGUUGCUUAACACGUUCUUGAAAGCUAACUGUCAGAAGAGGCCCAAAUCUGUAAUUACAGAUGGAGAUGCAGCGAUGAUAAGGGCUAUUGGGAAGGUGCUUUCUGACGUGUGGCAUCGUCUAUGUUCAUGGCAUAUUGAAAAGAAUAUGCAGAAACACCUCAACCACAAGUCAUUGAAGGAGUUUAGGGCAUUAUUAUACUAUGCCACUACACAUAAGGUUUUUGAGGAGAGAUGGGCCACGUUUGUGCGCAAAUGGCAGACGGAGAAAACGAAAACAUGGCUCCAUAGGAUGUACAGGAAGAGGACGCUUUGGGCUGCAUCAUAUUUGUCUGGUGGGAUUUUCCUUGGUAUGCGCAGUAAUCAGAGGAGUGAGAGUCUGAACUCCAGCCUGCACCUUCAUCUUGACUAUGGUAUGACGAUCGUUGACAUGAUUGUACACUACGAAAAUUGUAUUGUUCGCCUCCGUGAGAAUGAAGCUUAUGAUGACUACACGGCCUCACAGACUCUUCUAGUAACAGUGACUGAGUGUCAGGCCAUUGAGUCGUAUGCUGCGAAAGCAUUCACGCAGGCAAACUUUUAUAUGUUGCAACAAGAUAUGAAGAAGGUACAGGAGAUUUGUGGUUGCGUGGAAGAAUAA